rnacentral:rRNA from 1 species
GGGCCCGCACAAGCGGUGGAGUAUGUGGUUUAAUUCGAUGCAACGCGAAGAACCUUACCAGGGUUUGACAUCCUGCGAAUCUCUUGGAAACGAGAGAGUGCCUUCGGGAGCGCAGUGACAGGUGGUGCAUGGCUGUCGUCAGCUCGUGUCGUGAGAUGUUGGGUUAAGUCCCGCAACGAGCGCAACCCACGUCUUUAGUUGCCAGCAUUUAGUUGGGCACUCUAGAGAGACCGCCGGUGAUAAACCGGAGGAAGGUGUGGAUGACGUCAAGUCAUCAUGCCCCUUACAUCCUGGGCUACACACGUACUACAAUGGCAAGUACAACGAGUCGCAAUACCGCGAGGUGGAGCAAAUCUCUUAAAGCUUGUCUCAGUUCGGAUAGGAGUCUGCAACUCGACUCCUUGAAGUUGGGGUCGCUAGUAAUCG